rnacentral:rRNA from 6 species
AAAGAAACCAACAGGGAUUGCCCUAGUAACGGCGAGUGAAGCGGCAACAGCUCAAAUUUGAAAUCUGGCCCUCGGGUCCGAGUUGUAAUUUGUAGAGGAUGCUUUUGGUGAGGUGCCUUCCGAGUUCCCUGGAACGGGACGCCAUAGAGGGUGAGAGCCCCGUCUGGUUGGACACCGAGCCUCUGUAAAGCUCCUUCGACGAGUCGAGUAGUUUGGGAAUGCUGCUCUAAAUGGGAGGUAUAUGUCUUCUAAAGCUAAAUACCGGCCAGAGACCGAUAGCGCACAAGUAGAGUGAUCGAAAGAUGAAAAGCACUUUGAAAAGAGAGUUAAAAAGUACGUGAAAUUGUUGAAAGGGAAGCGCUUAUGACCAGACUUGGGCUUGGUUGAUCAUCCUGGGUUCUCCCUGGUGCACUCUUCCAGUUCAGGCCAGCAUCAGUUCGCUGCGGGGGAUAAAAGUUUUGGGAAUGUGGCUCCCUCGGGAGUGUUAUAGCCCAUUGCAUAAUACCCUGCUCCGGACUGAGGUUCGCGCAUCUGCAAGGAUGCUGGCGUAAUGGUCAUCAGCGACCCGUCUUGAAACACGGACCAAGGAGUCGUCUUCGUAUGCGAGUGUUCGGGUGUUAAACCCCUACGCGUAAUGAAAGUGAACGCAGGUGAGAGCUUCGGCGCAUCAUCGACCGAUCCUGAUGUUCUCGGAUGGAUUUGAGUAAGAGCAUACGGGGCCGGACCCGAAAGAAGGUGAACUAUGCCUGUAUAGGGUGAAGCCAGAGGAAACUCUGGUGGAGGCUCGCAGCGGUUCUGACGUGCAAAUCGAUCGUCAAAUAUGGGCAUGGGGGCGAAAGACUAAUCGAACCUUCUAGUAGCUGGUU